rnacentral:rRNA from 1 species
GAUGAACGCUAGCGGGAGGCCUAACACAUGCAAGCCGAGCGGUAGAGUUUCUUCGGAAACUUGAGAGCGGCGCACGGGUGCGUAACACGUGUGCAACCUACCUUUAUCUGGGGGAUGGCCUUUCGAAAGGAAGAUUAAUACCCCAUAAUAUAAUGAUUGGCAUCAAUUAUUAUUGAAAACUCCGGUGGAUAGAGAUGGGCACGCGCAAGAUUAGAUAGUUGGUGAGGUAACGGCUCACCAAGUCAAUGAUCUUUAGGGGUCCUGAGAGGGAGAUCCCCCACACUGGUACUGAGACACGGACCAGACUCCUACGGGAGGCAGCAGUGAGGAAUAUUGGACAAUGGGUGAGAGCCUGAUCCAGCCAUCCCGCGUGAAGGAUGACGGUCCUAUGGAUUGUAAACUUCUUUUGUACAGGGAUAAACCUACCCUCGUGAGGGUAGCUGAAGGUACUGUACGAAUAAGCACCGGCUAACUCCGUG